UUAUUAUGUAACAGUUCUUUCAGUGUUAUUCUUUUUAAAGUAUGUGGAAUAUUCCCUUGUUAAAAUUACAGUCUGAGAGCGAACCAAGAACAUUCAGGACACACAGAGGGCACUGAGGAAUGCUGGAAUAUUCCAUGGAUACUUGUCAUCUGAAGAAAAGGGAGAGGAGGAAUCUGAAUUCCAGAAUCUGCAAUUUACCUUUAAAACAUCGUUCUCAUCCUCCUUAUUCAUGCCUUGCAUGUGUAAAGCCCUUCGAAGUUUUGUUCAAAAAUAUCUAUUGAGCUCCUUCUACACGCUUACACGCUGGGACCUCCAGAUGGACAUUAACCCCUCUGACAACACGAAGUAGAGCAGUGUGGAGAGGUCAUGCGACUGAUCCAAAGCCACACAGAAAGUUUCUGAGCACCUGUCGCUCCUCUAAGAUUGACCUGCCCUUCCCUCAUAGAUACUUCAUGUCUCCUUCCCUGCUUUGUUCUUCUCUCUUUAGCAGGAAAGAUAAAUAUUUCACUUCUUUAUCUUGCUUAUUUUCUGCAUGCCUCACUAUGGUGCAACCUCCACACAGGCCGGGAUGUUAUCUGUUUUGUUCAUCACUGUAUUCUCAGUGCCUAUAACAGCAAUAUUAUUUGUUCACUGAUGAAUGUCACCAGCCCCCUUAAUGGACUGAGUCAGAUUCAGAAGUCAAUGGAAGGAGCAACUCCAGAGUACCCCCCUGUUUUUGUUACUGGACCGAACCGGGUCCAGUUACUCAGUGGUUGCCAGCCAAAAGACAAGGUGAUUUUAUGAGAAGGAAAUUUAUCGAGAGCCAGCAAGCAAGAGACACACUGGGGAUCACUCCUAGAGCAAUGUGUCUUCGAAAGCAAAGGAUUGGAUUAGCCUCAUUCAGAGAAAUCAAACAUAAACAUCAAGUGUAAAAAUGAAACCUGGGAAAAGAGUCAGUGGGGCUGCUUUCGUGGCUGAGAAGUCAGAAGGCUGGCCUUCCUGGCCCUCCCACAUACCUGGCCUCAGCCAAGGGUAGAAAGGAUGCUGCUCAGUCAUUACCGCAGGGCUGAAGCACAAUACUUCAGGGAGGAACUAUGAGGGACCAUCCACAUGCCAUAAACGGGAUUUCCGAACAGGUCAACAAACAACCAAAAUUCCAGGCUCACAGAGGAAAAAAAUCUGGAGUCAGGGGAGCUGAUUGCCUCCAAGAUUUUUCGAGAGCAGAACCAGGUAUUUCCUGCUUAGGCUCAGCAGGCAACAAGGAAGAGAAACUGACACUGGAUAUUGCCUGAUGCCACAGGAGCCCUCAAGAUCCUCAGCAAUGCCUGCGAUCUCUGGGGUCUGGUGAGUUUCCAGCCCCGGCAGACAACCCAGUUAGGUCAUACGUUAACUACCUUGACCACAUAUGGCAGGUCGGGGAUGCUGGUAAGCCCUAAAAUUAUGGAGAACAGAAUGCCUGCUAUCAUGCAAACAUGUGGACUCUUGCUCCAAUGUGGUGUAAAAACUUGAAAAGGAAGAUUUUCUGAAGCCCAGAUGCCUGUCGAGGGCCACAUCUGGGUUGCUAAUUGCCACACUAAAGUGGUGGAACAUUCUAGAAAGUGAACAUUCUAGACAAAGUUGAGAGAGGAUCUGAGAAGGAAUCCAUCUGGGCCUUUACCAGAUCUUCAGCCUGUGAGAACUUCUCGCUCAGACCCCCGCAGUUGACCUGUCCAACAAAUCAAAGGCCACCAGUUUCUCUUAUCCAUCUUGCCGUUUGUCAGAAGUGUUUACUUACGUUCAACAAUAAGAACCAAUGCCUCAAGUGUCUGGGAGGGCUGCCAUGCUGACACCCAGAGGAAGAGAAGCAGAAGUCACAGCUUCCACCAGCAGACCCUGUGGACUUCACGGGCCCUAUCCUAGGAAAGGAGAGCAAGGAGCCUGGACUCCAGAGUCCAUAGUCCAUCAGCACCAACUAGUCAUGACCUUGGGCUCAUUAACCUUAGUUCUCUAAGCCUCAACAUUUCCUCAUCUGUAAAAUAGAGUUGAUCAUAAUUCCUACUUCACAGCCUCAUCGUGAGUCUUAGAGGAAAUAACGAAUGUAAAGUUCUUAGCAAAGUGCCUGGCAUAUAUUGAUGGCUCCAUCAAUGUCAGCGACUGUUUUAUUUAGUUUAGCCCGACUCCUAAGCUCACCUGAUCGAGGUGAAUGACACAGUCUCUCAUCUAAGCAGUGGCUAGGUUUUAGAAUUACUCUGACGACUGUGAACCUCACACAUAAUCUGGGGCGACUGGGGUGGAAGUAUUCAUUGUGGACUGGGAUCCUGGGGAAUUUGGUAUGGCUGGAGAGCAGGGCCGUGCGAAUGUGGUGCCCUGGAAGCAGUAGGGGACCGACUCAGAAGGAUCCCGGUUGCCAGUGUAAGGGGGAUGUGAUGGCUAAUUUUACGUGUGGACCUGACAGAGCUAAGGGAUGCCCAGAUAGCUGGGAAACGUCAUUUCUGAGUGUGUCUGUCAGGGAGUCUCUGGGAGAGAUUGGCGGUCACAUCAGUAGGCUCAGUAAAGAUCUCCCUCCCCACUGUGGGUGGGCCUCAUACGAUCCUUUUAGGGCCUAAAUAGAACAAAAAGGCAGGGGUAGGGAGAAUUCACUCUCUCUGCUGGAGCUGAGACAUCUGUCUUCUGCCCUCAGGCUUCGGGGCUCCUGGUUCUUGGGCCUUUAGACUCAAAGUGAAUUACACCACCAGCUUUCCUGGUUCUCAGCUUUCAGGCAACAGAUGGUGGGACCUCUCGGCCUCCAUAACCGCAUGAAACAACUCCCAUAGUAAAUCUCCCAUAUAUACCUAUCUCUAUCUAUAUGCAUAGAUCCUGUUCGUUUCUCCGGAGAACACUGACUAAUACCGGCGGCUUCGAUUCACUUUCCCAAGUGUACCCUACCUCCUUCUCUUGGCCACAAAUAUAAGUAUAAAUAAACUGACUUAGGUAAGCUAGAGCAGCAUUGUGAUGGCUUCUUCGGUGUUUUCAAUCAUCUCUGGCUCCUUUAGAAACAUUUCACUUUCACCUAAAAGAUGAAAGAUUCCCCCCAUCCACAACCCCCAUGGGCCCUUCUCUCUCCCCCUGUCCCUUCUUUUUCCCUCCCCUCCCCCUCCUCAUCCCCCAUCCAGCAGACUAACCGCAGGGGCAGCUCUAAAAAUAGCUUGCCUUCACCAACCCCCCUAGCAUGUAAAUACAUCUUUGUUCCCCGGCGGGCAUUUAAUAACUGUACUUUACAGAGAAACAAAAGCUGUAAUCAGAGCCCAACAAUAGAAGCGGCAGGCAGCUCUGAACAAUACUCAGAAUUCCCGUGGUGACUUCCACCCCCCAGCCACAGCUGUGAGAACCAGAAGUCUCAAGCACGAAUUCCAUUCACAAUUAUUCGCCUAGCCCCACUGUGGCUUAUUGGAAUCACGGCUUUCCGGCCUCCUCAGCGGGGCUUUCAAGAUGCUGAAAGGGAUGCCAAGCCUGGACCCCUACCAGGAGCAGGCAGGCCAUGCAGGUGUGCAUGGGGGGCUGGCGCUGAGAAGCCUGCAGAGUCGCACGGUGACAGAGCCAGACUGCCCGAGGCUAGAGACUUCAGCAGCCAGCGGUCUCUGCACCAGUGCUUCAUGCAAGACUUCCUUCAGAUAAAAGCGCUUUGCACUGACUUCCUUCUCGGCCCUGCAGUCUGUGCAUUCCAGGAUAAGCCCAGCAGCUGGCUUCUCCCAGCAGGUUCAAGGCUUAGAACCUCAGAGAGGGACGCUCUUUAAGAAGGACAACUCCAGUGGGUCUCAGGUUCUGUUACAUGUUAGAGUCACUGGAAUACUUAAAAAAAACAUUUAGCACGAGACCCCCAUGCCAGACCAGGUGAAUUAGAGUCUCUGGCAAUGAGGAAUCAACAUUGGUAUUAUUUUUCUCCUUUCUUUUCGUUUUGAAGUAUAACUGAAAUAUAAGGUUAUGGAUUGAAUAUUUGUGUCCCUCCCAAAAUUCAUAUAUUGAACUCCCACCCACAAUAUAACUGUAUUUGGAGAUAGGGCCUUUUUGGAUAAUUAAGGUCAAAUGAGGUCAUAAGGGUGGGGCCCUAAUCCAAUAGGAUUAGUGUACUUAUAAGAAGAGACACCAGAGAGCUCACUCUUCUCCUUUCCCACAAAACAACGUAAAGACUCAGCUAGAAGGCAGCUGUCUGCAGCUGAGAAACAGUUCUCACCAGGCACUGAAUCAGCCAGUGCCUUGAUCUUGGACUUCUCCACCUCCAGGAGUGUGGGCAAUACAUUUCUAUUUAAGCUACCCUGUCCAUGGUAUUUUGUUUCAGCAGCCCGAGCUGACCAAGACAUAUAGUAAAGUCUAUGACUCUGAAGUAUAAAGCCUGAUAAAGUAUGUCACCACCAUCCACCAUCCUAACAGCCCCCAAAGUCUCCCAGUGCCAGCUACAGGUAAGCACUAUUUUGAUUUCUAUCACCGCAGAUGAGUUUUGCCUGUUCUUGAACUUCAUAUGAAUAUAAUUGCGCGCUAUGUUAUGUCUUCUUUGGGAUCGAACUUCUUUUGCUCAGCAUUG